AUAAUGGGUCAGCGACUUAUAUUCUGUAGCAAGGUUAACCGAAUAGGGGAGCCGAAGGGAAACCGAGUCUUAACUGGGCGUUAAGUUGCAGGGUAUAGACCCGAAACCCGGUGAUCUAGCCAUGGGCAGGUUGAAGGUUGGGUAACACUAACUGGAGGACCGAACCGACUAAUGUUGAAAAAUUAGCGGAUGACUUGUGGCUGGGGGUGAAAGGCCAAUCAAACCGGGAGAUAGCUGGUUCUCCCCGAAAGCUAUUUAGGUAGCGCCUCGUGAAUUCAUCUCCGGGGGUAGAGCACUGUUUCGGCAAGGGGGUCAUCCCGACUUACCAACCCGAUGCAAACUGCGAAUACCGGAGAAUGUUAUCACGGGAGACACACGGCGGGUGCUAACGUCCGUCGUGAAGAGGGAAACAACCCAGACCGCCAGCUAAGGUCCCAAAGUCAUGGUUAAGUGGGAAACGAUGUGGGAAGGCCCAGACAGCCAGGAUGUUGGCUUAGAAGCAGCCAUCAUUUAAAGAAAGCGUAAUAGCUCACUGGUCGAGUCGGCCUGCGCGGAAGAUGUAACGGGGCUAAACCAUGCACCGAAGCUGCGGCAGCGACGCUGAUGCGUUGUUGGGUAGGGGAGCGUUCUGUAAGCCUGCGAAGGUGUGCUGUGAGGCAUGCUGGAGGUAUCAGAAGUGCGAAUGCUGACAUAAGUAACGAUAAAGCGGGUGAAAAGCCCGCUCGCCGGAAGACCAAGGGUUCCUGUCCAACGUUAAUCGGGGCAGGGUGAGUCGACCCCUAAGGCGAGGCCGAAAGGCGUAGUCGAUGGGAAACAGGUUAAUAUUCCUGUACUUGGUGUUACUGCGAAGGGGGGACGGAGAAGGCUAUGUUGGCCGGGCGACGGUUGUCCCGGUUUAAGCGUGUAGGCUGGUUUUCCAGGCAAAUCCGGAAAAUCAAGGCUGAGGCGUGAUGACGAGGCACUACGGUGCUGAAGCAACAAAUGCCCUGCUUCCAGGAAAAGCCUCUAAGCAUCAGGUAACAUCAAAUCGUACCCCAAACCGACACAGGUGGUCAGGUAGAGAAUACCAAGGCGCUUGAGAGAACUCGGGUGAAGGAACUAGGCAAAAUGGUGCCGUAACUUCGGGAGAAGGCACGCUGAUAUGUAGGUGAAGUCCCUCGCGGAUGGAGCUGAAAUCAGUCGAAGAUACCAGCUGGCUGCAACUGUUUAUUAAAAACACAGCACUGUGCAAACACGAAAGUGGACGUAUACGGUGUGACGCCUGCCCGGUGCCGGAAGGUUAAUUGAUGGGGUUAGCGCAAGCGAAGCUCUUGAUCGAAGCCCCGGUAAACGGCGGCCGUAACUAUAACGGUCCUAAGGUAGCGAAAUUCCUUGUCGGGUAAGUUCCGACCUGCACGAAUGGCGUAAUGAUGGCCAGGCUGUCUCCACCCGAGACUCAGUGAAAUUGAACUCGCUGUGAAGAUGCAGUGUACCCGCGGCAAGACGGAAAGACCCCGUGAACCUUUACUAUAGCUUGACACUGAACAUUGAGCCUUGAUGUGUAGGAUAGGUGGGAGGCUUUGAAGUGUGGACGCCAGUCUGCAUGGAGCCGACCUUGAAAUACCACCCUUUAAUGUUUGAUGUUCUAACGUUGACCCGUAAUCCGGGUUGCGGACAGUGUCUGGUGGGUAGUUUGACUGGGGCGGUCUCCUCCUAAAGAGUAACGGAGGAGCACGAAGGUUGGCUAAUCCUGGUCGGACAUCAGGAGGUUAGUGCAAUGGCAUAAGCCAGCUUGACUGCGAGCGUGACGGCGCGAGCAGGUGCGAAAGCAGGUCAUAGUGAUCCGGUGGUUCUGAAUGGAAGGGCCAUCGCUCAACGGAUAAAAGGUACUCCGGGGAUAACAGGCUGAUACCGCCCAAGAGUUCAUAUCGACGGCGGUGUUUGGCACCUCGAUGUCGGCUCAUCACAUCCUGGGGCUGAAGUAGGUCCCAAGGGUAUGGCUGUUCGCCAUUUAAAGUGGUACGCGAGCUGGGUUUAGAACGUCGUGAGACAGUUCGGUCCCUAUCUGCCGUGGGCGCUGGAGAACUGAGGGGGGCUGCUCCUAGUACGAGAGGACCGGAGUGGACGCAUCACUGGUGUUCGGGUUGUCAUGCCAAUGGCACUGCCCGGUAGCUAAAUGCGGAAGAGAUAAGUGCUGAAAGCAUCUAAGCACGAAACUUGCCCCGAGAUGAGUUCUCCCUGACUCCUUGAGAGUCCUGAAGGAACGUUGAAGACGACGACGUUGAUAGGCCGGGUGUGUAAGCGCAGCGAUGCGUUGAGCUAA
rnacentral:rRNA from 1 species